rnacentral:rRNA from 1 species
UACGGAGGUGGCAAGCGUUGCUCGGAAUCACUGGGCGUAAAGGGUGCGUAGGCGGGUCUUUAAGUCAGGGGGGAAAUCCUGGAGCUCAACUCCAGAACUGCCUUUGAUACUGAAGAUCUUGAGUUCGGGAGAGGUGAGUGGAACUGCGAGUGUAGAGGUGAAAUUCGUAGAUAUUCGCAAGAACACCAGUGGCGAAGGCGGCUCACUGGCCCGAUACUGACGCUGAGGCACGAAAGCGUGGAGAGCAAACAGG